GACGAGUACCUCAAGCGUUAUCCGGAUUUAUUGGGCGUAAAGGGUCCGCAGGUGGUUUUGUAAGUCCUUAGUUAAAGCCUGCCGCCUAACGGCAGAACAGCUGGGGAUACUGCAAAACUUGAGGAUGGGAGAGGCAAACGGAACGUAGGGAGUAGGGAUGAAAUCCGUUGAUACCCUACGGAACGCCAAAGGCGAAGGCAGUUUGCUAGAACAUCCUGACACUCAGGGACGAAAGCUAGGGGAGCGAAACGG
rnacentral:misc_RNA from 1 species